AAAGCUCAAGGCUGAACUUAGCAGCACGCCGGGAACCUGCGCAUGCGUCUGGGAGCCAAGCAUGUUCUCCUAUGGAACACGAAGUACCUGAAGUGGAAUGAAGAAGCCCAUGUUUGAGGCCUGCGCCCUGGCGGGAGCAUUGAAGGGGCAUCUGACACGUUACACAACGCUGAUCUAUCCAGGACGGCUUCAGGAUGGACUAUAAGAAGGAGGU